AAAUGAAUAGGUUUUCUAAGUUCCCUAUGGUCGCCAUGGGGCUAAGAUGGAAUUCGGUGCAAAUCCGAAACGGUCACGCCGCUGUAACUGAUAGGUUGGUCUUGUUUACCACUGGAUAGCUUGCUAUUUGGGAAGGUAGACCAAGCGUAGUCAGAAGUCAGAAUACAUGCUUAGGAGGAAAUUUUGUC
rnacentral:ncRNA from 2 species